rnacentral:rRNA from 1 species
GACGAACGCUGGCGGCGCGCCUAACACAUGCAAGUCGAACGAGCGAGAGAGAGCUUACUUUCUCAAGCGAGUGGCGAACGGGUGAGUAACGCGUGAGGAACCUGCCUCAAAGAGGGGGACAACAGUUGGAAACGACUGCUAAUACCGCAUGACGCUUCUUAGGGGCGUCCCUGAGAAGUCAAAGCUUUAUGUGCUGAAAGAUGGCCUCGCGUCUGAUUAGCUAGUUGGUGAGAUAACAGCCCACCAAGCCGACGAUCGGUAGCUGGACUGAGAGGUUGAUCGGCCACAUUGGGACUGAGACACGGCCCAG